CUGGCUCAGGAUGAACGCUAGCGGCAGGCUUAACACAUGCAAGUCGAGGGGCAGCGGGAUGUAGCAAUACAUUGCCGGCGACCGGCGGAUGGGUGCGUAACGCGUAUGCAACCUACCUUAUACAGGGGAAUAACCUUUCGAAAGGGAGACUAACACCCCAUAGUAUUGAUUUAAGGCAUCUUAGAUUAAUUAAAUAUUUAUAGGUAUAAGAUGGGCAUGCGUAUGAUUAGCUAGUUGGUAAGGUAACGGCUUACCAAGGCGACGAUCAUUAGGGGUUCUGAGAGGAAGGUCCCCCACACUGGUACUGAGACACGGACCAGGCUCCUACGGGAGGCAGCAGUGAGGAAUAUUGGUCAAUGGGCGCAAGCCUGAACCAGCCAUGCCGCGUGCAGGAAGACGGCCUUAUGGGUUGUAAACUGCUUUUACAUAAGACUAACCGUAUAUUUGCGAAUAUACCUGAAUGUAUUAUGAGAAUAAGGAUCGGCUAACUCCGUGCCAGCCGCCGC
rnacentral:rRNA from 1 species